GACGAACGCUGGCGGCGUGCCUAAUACAUGCAAGUUGAGCGCUGAAGGUGGGUACUUGUACCAACUGGAUGAGCAGCGAACGGGUGAGUAACGCGUGGGGAAUCUGCCUUUGAGCGGGGGACAACAUUUGGAAACGAAUGCUAAUACCGCAUAAAAACUUUAAACACAAGUUUUAAGUUUGAAAGAUGCAAUUGCAUCACUCAAAGAUGAUCCCGCGUUGUAUUAGCUAGUUGGUGAGGUAAAGGCUCACCAAGGCGAUGAUACAUAGCCGACCUGAGAGGGUGAUCGGCCACAUUGGGACUGAGACACGGGCCAAACUCCUACGGGAGGCAGCAGGAGGGAAGCUUUGGCAAAGGACGAAAGGCUGACCGAGCAACGCCGCAUGAGUGAAGAAGGGUUUCGGAUCGGAAAACUCUGUUGGUAGGGAAGAAAGUUGGUGAGAGUGGAAAGCUCAUCAAGUGACGGUAACUACCCAGAAAGGGACGGCUAACUACGUG
rnacentral:rRNA from 1 species